GGGGGGGGGGGGGGGGGGGGGGGGGGGGGGGGGGGGGGGCGGGGGGGGGUGGUGGUGGGAGCGGCGGGGGGAGCCGCGAGCGGGGGGGUCACGCGGGGGGGAGCUGCCUUUGAGCGGGGGACAACAUGGGGAAGCGACUGCUAAGGCCGCAGGAAAACGUUCAAGACAAUGUGUAAGUGUGAAAGAUGCCAUCGCAGCACUCCACGAUGAUCCCGCGUUGUAUUAGCUGGUUGGUGAGGUCAAGGCUCACCAAGGCGAUGCGACAUAGCAGACCUCGGAGGGUGAUCGGCCACAUUGGGACUGAGACACGGCCCAAACUCCGACGGGAGGCAGCAGUAGGGAAUCUUCGGCAAUGGACGAAAGUCUGACCGAGCAACGCCGCGUGAGUGAAGAAGGUUUUCGGAUCGUAAGACUCUGUUGGUAGAGAAGAACGUUGGUGAGAGUGGAAAGCUCAUCAAGUGACGGUAACUACCCAGAAAGGGACGGCUAACUACGUG
rnacentral:rRNA from 1 species